rnacentral:lncRNA from 10 species
ACUGCCUACCUUGCACCGGGCAAGGUUUAUUACCGAGGACACAGCUGUGAACAAGGCACAUCUUGGACAUUAUUCCAAAUAGAGUCAUCCUUUUUUAACCGCUGCAAAGAAUCCCAUCAUAUGGAUGAUCUGUAACAGGGGUCCCCAACCCCUGGGCGAGGACUAGCACCGGUCUGUGGCCUGUUAGGAAUGGGGCCACACAGCAGGAGG